ACGGGGGGAGCAAGCGUUGUUCGGAUUUACUGGGCGUAAAGGGCGCGUAGGCGGUCAUGACAAGUCACUUGUGAAAUCUCCGGGCUUAACUCGGAACGGUCAACUGAUACUGCUCGGCUAGAGUGCGGAAGGGGCAACUGGAAUUCUUGGUGUAGCGGUGAAAUGCGUAGAUAUCAAGAGGAACACCUGCGGCGAAGGCGGGUUGCUGGGCCGACACUGACGCUGAAGCGCGAAAGCUAGGGGAGCGAACGGGA
rnacentral:rRNA from 1 species